rnacentral:rRNA from 1 species
GGUCAUUUAAAGGAAGUAAAAGUCGUAGCCGGGUUUCCGGAAGUGAACCUGCGGAAGGAUCUUGACAAUGACAUUCGCUAAGAUGGCGCCUGACCCCCUUAAGCCGCCAACCUCCACCCUUGUGUAUCAUUCAACUGUUGCUUUGGUGGGCCGCGAACCUAACGGCGAGCGCCGGCUUCGGCUGGAGAGUGCCUGCCAGAGGACCCAGCUCUGUUAUUUUGUAAUAUCUGAGUACUAUAUAAUAGUUAAAACUUUCAACAACGGAUCUCUUGGUUCUGGCAUCGAUGAAGAACGCUCCGAAAUGCCAUAAGUAAUGUGAAUUGCACAAUUCGGUGAAUCAUCGAAUCUUUGAACGCACAUUGCGCCCUCUGGUAUUCCGGGGGGCAUGCCUGUUCGAGCGUCAUUAUGACCAAUCACGCAAGUGGUAUUGGGGCUUGCCAUCUGGCAUCCCUUAAAACUAGUGGCAGUGCUAUAGGCUCUCAGCGCAGUAAUUAUUUCGCUCUUGAGUCCUAGACACACCCGCCAAAACCCCAACUUUCUUAGGUUGACCUCGGAUCAGGUAGGGAUACCCGCUGAACUUAAGCAUAUCAAUAAGCGGAGGAAAAGAAACCAACAGGGAUUACCUCAGUAACGGCGAGUGAAGCGGUAACAGCUCAAAUUUGAAAUCUGGCUCUCGGGCCCGAAUUGUAAUUUGUAGAAGAUGCUUUGGGUGUGGCUCCGGUCUAAGUUCCUUGGAACAGGACGUCAUAGAGGGUGAGAAUCCCGUACGUGACUGGUUGCCUUCGCUCAUGUAAAGCUCUUUCGACGAGUCGAGUUGCUUGGGAAUGCAGCUCAAAAUGGGUGGUAUAUCUCAUCUAAAGCUAAAUAUUGGCCAGAGACCGAUAGCGCACAAGUAGAGUGAUCGAAAGAUGAAAAGCACUUUGGAAAGAGAGUUAAACAGUACGUGAAAUUGUUGAAAGGGAAGCGCUUGCAACCAGACUUGCAAUCUGUUGAUCAUCCGGGGUUCUCCCCGGUGCACUCGGCAGUUUUCAGGCCAGCAUCGGUUUGGGUGGUGGGAUAAAGGCCUUGGGAAUGUGGCUCUCUUCGGGGAGUGUUAUAGCCCAAGGUGCAAUGCCGCCUACCUGGACCGAGGACCGCGCUUCGGCUAGGAUGCUGGCGUAAUGGUUGUAAGCGACCCGUCUUGAAACACGGACC